rnacentral:rRNA from 1 species
GUCCUUUUGAUUUUGAUUUAAGGUCUGGCCUGCCCAAUGAUUAAUUUAAUGGCCGCAGUAUUUUGACUGUGCAAAGGUAGCAUAAUCAUUAGUUUCUUAAUUAGGAACUAGUAUGAAUGGCUGAAUGAGAAAAAUUCUGUCUCAAGUUAAUUUAAAUAGAACUUUAUUAUUGAGUUAAAAAGCUUAAAUAAUUUUUAAAGACGAGAAGACCCUAUAGAGUUUGAUAAAUAUAUUAUUUAUAUAUUGAGGAAUUAAUUUUUAUAGAUUUGAUUAUUUAUUUGGUUGGGGUGACUGAAAAAUUUAAUUAACUUUUUAUUUAUUUUACAUUGUUUUAUGAUUUAUUUGAUCCAAAUUUUUUGAUUAAAAGAUUAAAUUACCUUAGGGAUAACAGCGUAAUCUUUUUGGAGAGUUCUUAUCAAUAAAAAGGUUUGCGACCUCGAUGUUGGAUUAAAAUUUAUAGUUGGUGUAGAAGUUAACUUAUUAGGUCUGUUCGACCUUUAAAAUUUUACGUGAUC